rnacentral:lncRNA from 1 species
AUUUAUUAUGGCAUGUCAAUUAAUAAAUUCUGUUAAUCAAAGUAUAUGUCCGAAAUGCAAAAGAAUUAUAAAACUAGAGAAAAAGAAAGAACGAAAAUCUUGGACUGAUAAUCUUACUGAAAAAUUUAAUGAUAAACUCGCAAGUAUAAUUGUUAACAUGAUAUUUUUUGGUUUUGGCCACAUUUUAACUUUAUUUUGGAAAGAUGAAUCACAACCGAUCAUUAAAAAUAUCAUAGGCGGAUAGGCUGCAUUAUUAAUUGAUUAUUUUAUAUUUCGAUCUGGAGGUCCGAAUUUGAAUCUCAAUCC